AGCGAACGCUGGCGGCGUACUUAACACAUGCAAGUCGAGCGGUAAGGCCCUUUCGGGGGGUACACGAGCGGCGAACGGGUGAGUAACACGUGGGUGACCUGCCCUCAGCUCUGGGAUAAGCCUGGGAAACCGGGUCUAAUACUGGAUAUGACUCCAUGACGCAUGUUGUGGGGUGGAAAGCCUUGUGCGGCUGGGGAUGGGCCCGCGGCCUAUCAGCUUGUUGGUGGGGUGAUGGCCUACCAAGGCGACGACGGGUAGCCGGCCUGAGAGGGCCGACCGGCCACACUGGGACUGAGACACGGCCCAGACUCC
rnacentral:rRNA from 1 species